UACGGAGGGGGUUAGCGUUGUUCGGAAUGACUGGGCGUAAAGCGCACGUAGGCGGCUUUCUAAGUCGGGGGUGAAAUCCUGGAGCUCAACUCCAGAACUGCCUUCGAUACUGGAGAGCUCGAGUCCGGGAGAGGUGAGUGGAACUGCGAGUGUAGAGGUGAAAUUCGUAGAUAUUCGCAAGAACACCAGUGGCGAAGGCGGCUCACUGGCCCGGUACUGACGCUGAGGUGCGAAAGCGUGGGGAGCAAACAGG
rnacentral:rRNA from 1 species